rnacentral:lncRNA from 1 species
CCGCGGGGAGGAGGGUGCGCUUCGCAGGGCGCUCGGUACUCGGUCGGGUGCCGCAGGGGCCGCAGAGGCUGCUGAGGCGGCGCGGAUCCUGCUCUGGGAGCUGCGCUCCGUGGCCUACACCCUGGCGGGCGCGCGCUGACCCGCUUGGUUACUCCACGUUGCUGCCGCCGCCGCUUGCAAACGCUUCCAGCCUCCAGCUCCCUCCUUCUCCUGCUCCUCCUUCUCUUGCUCCAAACGCCAACCCAGCCACAGACGAUCAGCCGUCGCGGUUGCGUUCACCCCCUGCGGAUCACAACGGCAGCCCUUGCGACACCCUGGCUGGGGAGUUUUAUUCCUGAGGGGGUUGCGCAGGGGCUCCCUUGGACUCCCACCCUUUCCCAACCUCUGCUGGCUUCUCCCCAACGUGGAAUUGCUCGCUUAGGGUAGGUAGGCACUUGCCACCCUAAAAUAGAUCCUCUCUGUCUCCUCCUGUCUGCAGCCGGGCAGCCCCUCAGUUUGUUCCUGGAUGACUCCCUAGACCGUCAGGCUAAUAUUCUCCAUCCCCCUCCCCUGCCUCUUUCACUUGCGCUCUCGCUCUGCUGUCUCUUUCUCUCUUUCUCUUUCUAUCUCUAUCUCAAUCUGUCUUUCUCUUGUCAGGAGCUUCUGGAGCUCCGCUCGGAGCGAACCUUCUGCUGCCAGCAGAUAACAUCACGAUCUUGCCGGGGAGGGGAGAUUUAUAAGUUCUCUCUGAACCACGUGUCUGCCUUCAACAAAGUGACGUGCUAGGAUUACAGUCAGAAGUCCUCUCGUUACUUAGACCACGAGCUCUCCCCGAACCGUUGAGGGAGUGUGGAAAUGAGGACCGCUGUGGGUAAGGGAGGAAGGAGGUGGAAUGUGCGCCCUGACAACAGUGAUUUACGGUAUUUACUUUCCAGUCAUUUUGGACAGGUCUGUUGAAGGAAGGACAAUCAAGUCUCCCGUUUUUACUUAGUGUAGCUCAGUCACAGCCUCCCAAGCUGAAUCACUUGCUCUAGAAGGGAAGGCUUCCCUCCUGUAUUAUGUGUGCACACGCACCCCUAUGGGAGGGAGCACUAGUCUACUCAGGGCCAGGCCAGUACUGAAGACAUACCUUCCAAUCUUUUAAAUUCAUGUCCUACCUCUUAUUUUCUGGGAUACCUUAGCAGGUUGCCAUCCCAGAAUUUAUUUUGUUAGUUUGUUGUUUACAAUGUACCCCUCUGUUUGUGAACUGCUGGAAAACAGAGAUCCAUCAAUUUUACCUAAAGAAUAAGGUAUACUUGUUUGUUUUACUGAUUUGAAUGAAUGGUCACCUUUAUAAUUUGCUGCCUAAGCCACUUCUUGUAUGGCUUUCUUCUUCACCUUCUUGCUAGGCUAAACAUUAUCAACCAACUUCAUUCUUUCCAUAGCAUUAAUCCAGGAAGCUGGAAUUUUAAGUGUUUGAUGUCUACUGUUCUACACUACUCAUAACUUGACAUUUUCAAUUUCAACUAAGUCUAAAUUAGAUGAAUACAAGAAUAACUCUUACCACUGUUCCACCUUCCCUUUUUCUUUUAUUUUACCUUUAGUUACUCAAAGUCAACAUUUUCAUUUCGGCAUGACUCUGCAGCCAUACUGACCAGACAGAUGAUUUAAACUGGAAACUCUGUUGAAUGUACUCCCAAACCCAAGAUCUCUAUACUGUUCUCUACUUCAGAUGUUCCUGAGUUCAGAAAAGUCACAAAGAACUUUCUAUCACUUUUGGAAUUUAUACUUCAGUUGUGUAUGGGGCCUAGGUUAUUAGUAGAGCACUGAAUAAAUAAAAUAAUAAUAGCUAACA